GAACAGGUUCCUAUGUUUUUCUAGGGCAUGAGGACUAGGGAUGAAUAUUGAGCAGAAGCCAUCAAGUUGAAAAGAAGAGUUUGCAGGAGCCACCUGCAGUUUCACAUUAGGGUCCUGUAUGCUUAACAAGGUCUGACACUGCAGAGAAAUAUAUGAGUUCCCACUAAAGUUUGUGAUCUCAUUUUAAUAUUUGUUAAUCAAAACAUGAGCUUAAGAAAUGAGGAUGUUGCUUGAAGAUUAUAAUGUCUGUGUAAACACUGAAGCUAAAAAUAGGUCAUCACGAACUGGGUUGAUAAGGCUUUUAAUCACAAAGACCCAGAAAAAGUCUUUAAAAUGAAUUCAUCUGCCACUGCCAUCAAGAAAUUUACUGCUCAUUUGUUUGUCCAGUUAUCUCUUCAUUUAUUCAAGAAAUAUGUAUUCAAUGGCUGCUAUAUAUCAGGCACUAAGGAGAAUAAGACAGCUGAGACCUUCCAUCACAGACUCCAUAGCUCUUUCCCACAUCUCAAAUUUGGAAACCACAGACCCACGUUGGAUUUGGCAACAACUGCUCAUACACUCCAGUCUAGAAAUCAGACACUUUUUUCUUCCUAAGAAACAAGCAUCCUCCAAAUGUAUGUGCAAUACUCUCUAAAGCAGCAGCAGACUGUUCUAUACUCAAUGAUAUCCUGGACUUGCAACUAGCAAAUUAACUUUCAGGAGAUUAAUUUUUUCUGUCAACUGCCACCUGAUAUAGCAGAGAAAGCAGUGUUGGAAUUGGAACUCACUGGAUGUUGCAUGCCUGUGGGCUGGUAUUCCCACUUUUGCUGACGGUGUCCUGACACAGGAAAACAGUGGCCCCACUUCCAUUUAUUCACGGGGCGCACAUGCUGUCAAAGCUGGAAAGCUGAGUGGGCCAGCCCCUGUUCUACAUCUCAGUCUAGAAUCGGCAAGUAUGCAUUGUGAGAAGCCAGUGAUAGGGGAUAGCCUCUUCUUGGCCAUGAGUUUCUAGGCAUCCAGGAUACUAAGCCACUUUAAUCACUGUAUCAGACCUGCUGAUUUGGCUGUGCUAAUAUUGGUUAUUAAAAGAGCUGAGGGCCUACCAAUUCACUUAGAAAAACGUGUUCAAAGGUUUUGAAUAGAAAAAGACUGGGUUCGGGAAAGAUGUAUGUUUUUCAAAUUGGAAGGGGAAGAUUUACAGAUCUUCCUGUACACCUGUCCCACGUUCUGUGAACAGGAGGGCUAGAUUUUCUACUUUUUUACUUGUCUCCACCAGGCAACCAAUAAGUAUUGUAGGCCAUUAGAUUUAUAUACAUUUAACGCAGUAACAUUCAUAUGUGCUUUCUGAGAUGACGUGUUGAGGAGUGUCCCAUUGAAACAUAACCACAGAUACUUAUUCUUUUCCUUACAUAUAUCAUCAAAACAAGGAGCGUAUGAGACAUAAAGAAUUAAAGAAAAAAAUCUCAAAAAGCCAUAAAAAUCCAUCUCCAUUUUUCACCACAUUGUCAUGCUGCAUAAAAUCAACUCACUUGCAGCUCUAGAAACUUUCUAGUUGACCUGGACAGUGCUCUGUUUGUUGCCCAUUUUUCUAGUAAAUGACUAUUUUUGAAAUAAAAAUAUUUAUAUGUACCACCACAGAACGUAAAUCCUCAGUUGAAAAUUAGAUGCACUGCGUCCAUGUCAUUUUGCUUUGAAGACAAAGAAUUUCCUUUUAUUGAUAAUAGUAACUGUAUCAAGAAAUCUCCAAGGAACAAUCACAAAUCUGUAUUGCUUUCAUUCAUGAUGAGGAAAGAGUGUGGUGACAUAAGUCAGCAGUGAAGCUUUGUGAAGUCAGCAUCUGUCUUUGUGAAGUCAGUUAAUUUUGGACCUGGGAGAAAGCAUGGCCCCAAAGAACUGUAAAAAUCAACCGAAAUUUUGUGUUAGAUUUUUAGUGAGCAUAUGAAUUAUGAAUACAGCAGUCAACACCUGUAAUAAAAUAGUGUUAUAUUUAAAUUUCAAUAAGCUAUGCAUCUUUAGUUCAUGGUAAAACUGUAUUCUUUCGUAUAUCUGUAACUAGUAAAAGUCAAAAUCUGCUUAAAACAAGGGAUUGCUGGUAGAGAUUCAAAAUAAGCUUUAAGAGACUAACAAAUAAGGAAAAAAAUGGGCCAAUUUCUAGCCCAAAAGUGAUAUAAUGAAUGAUUGUCUAGAGAUAAGUUUAUUUGUGGUUAUGGUUUCUGAAUCUUCUAAUUCUUGGGGGAGCGUGUUAUUGGGCAGAAGACCCCUUCAAGGUGCAGUCCUGAGGGAGGGACGCCAUGGACACCUUGUGAGGAUGAAGCUGGCAACUUUGUAUGUAACCCAA